rnacentral:tRNA from 1 species
UGAGGUGUAGCUCAGUAGGUUAGAGCUGGGGAAUCAUAAUCCCUGAGUCGGCGGUUCGAGUCCGCCCACCUCAACCA